GCUGGCGACCGGCGCACGGGUGAGUAACACGUAUCCAACCUGCCCUUUACUCGGGGAUAGCCUUUCGAAAGAAAGAUUAAUACCCGAUAGCAUAAUGAUUCCGCAUGGUUUCAUUAUUAAAGGAUUCCGGUAAAGGAUGGGGAUGCGUUCCAUUAGGUUGUUGGUGAGGUAACGGCCCACCAAGCCUUCGAUGGAUAGGGGUUCUGAGAGGAAGGUCCCCCACAUUGGAACUGAGACACGGUCCAAACUCCUACGGGAGGCAGCAGUGAGGAAUAUUGGUCAAUGGGCGCUAGCCUGAACCAGCCAAGUAGCGUGAAGGAUGAAGGCUCUAUGGGUCGUAAACUUCUUUUAUAUAAGAAUAAAGUGCAGUAUGUAUACUGUUUUGUAUGUAUUAUAUGAAUAAGGAUCGGCUAACUCCGUGCCAGCAGCCGCGGUAAUACGGAGGAUCCGAGCGUUAUCCGGAUUUAUUGGGUUUAAGGGGAGCGUAGGCGGAUUGUUAAGUCAGUUGUGAAAGUUUGCGGCUCAACCGUAAAAUUGCAGUUGAUACUGGCAGUCUUGAGUGCAGUAGAGGUGGGCGGAAUUCGUGGUGUAGCGGUGAAAUGCUUAGAUAUCACGAAGAACUCCGAUUGCGAAGGCAG
rnacentral:rRNA from 1 species